rnacentral:rRNA from 1 species
CCCUUAGAGGUUCUGGGCCGCACGCGCGCUACACUGACGAAUGCAACGAGCUUAUAACCUUGGCCGAAAGGUCUGGGUAAUCUCCAAAUUUCGUCGUGAUGGGGAUAGAUUAUUGCAAUUAUUAAUCUUCAACGAGGAAUGCCUAGUAAGCGCAAGUCAUCAGCUUGCGUUGAUUACGUCCCUGCCCUUUGUACACACCGCCCGUCGCUCCUACCGAUUGAAUGGUCCGGUGAAGCGUUCGGACCGUGGCCUUUGGACGGUUCGCCGUCUGUUGGCUGCGGGAAGUUCGUUAAACCUUAUCAUUUAGAGGAAGGAGAAGUCGUAACA